UUAGAUACCCUGGUAGUCCACGCUGUAAACGAUGUCGAUUUGGAGGUUGUGCCCUUUGAGGCGUGGCUUCCGGAGCUAACGCGUUAAAUCGACCGCCUGGGGAGUACGGCCGCAAGGUUAAAACUCAAAUGAAUUUGACGGGGGCCCGCACAAGCGGUGGAGCAUGUGGUUUAAUUCGAUGCAACGCGAAGAACCUUACCUACUCUUGACAUCCAGAGAACUUUCCAGAGAUGGAUUGGUGCCUUCGGGAACUCUGAGACAGGUGCUGCAUGGCUGUCGUCAGCUCGUGUUGUGAAAUGUUGGGUUAAGUCCCGCAACGAGCGCAACCCUUAUCCUUUGUUGCCAGCGGUUCGGCCGGGAACUCAAAGGAGACUGCCAGUGAUAAACUGGAGGAAGGUGGGGAUGACGUCAAGUCAUCAUGGCCCUUACGAGUAGGGCUACACACGUGCUACAAUGGCAUAUACAAAGAGAAGCGACCUCGCGAGAGCAAGCGGACCUCAUAAAGUAUGUCGUAGUCCGGAUUGGAGUCUGCAACUCGACUCCAUGAAGUCGGAAUCGCUAGUAAUCGUAGAUCAGAAUGCUACGGUGAAUACGUUCCCGGGCCUUGUACACACCGCCCGUAAACGCCAUGGGAGUGGGUUGCAAAAGAA
rnacentral:rRNA from 1 species